rnacentral:rRNA from 1 species
GCCUAGGUGUCAGUUGGGAUUUAAGAUCAAGACCGCUGUUUAAUUGGGGCGAUGACCUUAUCUAAGCCACCUAAGGUGAACAAAGCGAUACAAGGAUCCUUAACAUGCCCAACUAAUAAGUGCAAAGAUACAUGUUUCGCUUAAUGGCCCGGUGAGUCCUUCCCAGUACUUAAAUGCUGUCUUAGUGAGCUUUAAAUUAAUUUACCAGCACCAAGCUACUCUACGGAUAACAGGCUUAAUUUCGGCAAUACGGAAGCUCACAUUAUCAAGAAAAAUGCACCUCGAUGUCGGCUUAUCGUCACCAAAAUCUGUAGCUGGUUUAUUGGUGGGAGUGCUCAUCCCGUAAAUCGGUACGUGAGCUGGGUUCAGAACGAUGUAAAUCAGUUUGGUCUAUAUCUUUAAUCAUAACACAAGAAAUGCAUUGUUUUCUCAGUACGCAAGGACCAGAAAGAUUAAGCU